rnacentral:rRNA from 1 species
UCGAGCGGCAGCACGGGUACUUGUACCUGGUGGCGAGCGGCGGACGGGUGAGUAAUGCCUAGGAAUCUGCCUAGUAGUGGGGGAUAACGUCCGGAAACGGGCGCUAAUACCGCAUACGUCCUACGGGAGAAAGUGGGGGAUCUUCGGACCUCACGCUAUUAGAUGAGCCUAGGUCGGAUUAGCUAGUUGGUGAGGUAAUGGCUCACCAAGGCUACGAUCCGUAACUGGUCUGAGAGGAUGAUCAGUCACACUGGAACUGAGACACGGUCCAGACUCCUACGGGAGGCAGCAGUGGGGAAUAUUGGACAAUGGGCGAAAGCCUGAUCCAGCCAUGCCGCGUGUGUGAAGAAGGUCUUCGGAUUGUAAAGCACUUUAAGUUGGGAGGAAGGGCAGUUACCUAAUACGUGAUUGUUUUGACGUUACCGACAGAAUAAGCACCGGCUAACUCUGUGCCAGCAGCCGCGGUAAUACAGAGGGUGCAAGCGUUAAUCGGAAUUACUGGGCGUAAAGCGCGCGUAGGUGGUUUGUUAAGUUGGAUGUGAAAGCCCCGGGCUCAACCUGGGAACUGCAUCCAAAACUGGCAAGCUAGAGUAUGGUAGAGGGUGGUGGAAUUUCCUGUGUAGCGGUGAAAUGCGUAGAUAUAGGAAGGAACACCAGUGGCGAAGGCGACCACCUGGACUGAUACUGACACUGAGUGCGAAAGCGUGGGGAGCAAACAGGAUUAGAUACCCU